AGAGUUUGAUCCUGGCUCAGAAUGAACGCUGGCGGCGUGCCUAACACAUGCAAGUCGGAUGUGCCGCAAGGUGCAUGGCAGACGGGUGAGUAACGCGUAGGGAAUCUACCUCUUUGUGGGGAAUAACGCUCCGAAAGGAGUGGUAAUACCGCAUGAGACCGAGUGCUGGGAUGCAUUCGGUGAAACCUGGGGACCGCAAGGCCUGGGGCAAGGAGAGGAUCCUGCGUCUGAUUAGCUAGUUGGCGGGGUAAUGGCCCACCAAGGCGACGAUCAGUAGCCGGCCUGAGAGGGUGAUCGGCCACCUCAUGUCGGAGACACGGUCCAGACUCCUACGGGAGGCAGCAGUGGGGAAUUUUGCGCAAU
rnacentral:rRNA from 1 species